CAGUAGCCGCGGGAAAACGGAGGGUGCAAGCGUUAUCCGGAUUUAUUGGGUUUAAAGGGUCCGUAGGCGGAUCUGUAAGUCAGUGGUGAAAUCUCACAGCUUAACUGUGAAACUGCCAUUGAUACUGCAGGUCUUGAGUAAAUUUGAAGUGGCUGGAAUAAGUAGUGUAGCGGUGAAAUGCAUAGAUAUUACUUAGAACACCAAUUGCGAAGGCAGGUCACUAAGAUUUAACUGACGCUGAUGGACGAAAGCGUGGGGAGCGAACAGGAUUAGAUACCCCGGUAGUCCCUGUCUCUUAUAC
rnacentral:rRNA from 1 species